UUGGAUAGCUAGUGUUUGUAGGCUCCGUGCUCGCGCAUCGAACUACAUACCACCUAUCCUUCUCAGUUGCUUCGCGAGUAAAAUUAAGCUCGUUGACGAGAUCUGGGGCUUGUGUUGCGUACCUAACUAAAAGGAAUUAUUGAGUUUGGCUUCACACGUUGUUCGUGGCAUCUCCCUCAACGGGGGAAGUCGUGAACACAAUAAUUGGCACUUGUGAUCCUUGCGUCCUGGCACCAAAAAUGCUGUGUUCGCAAAGGUGAACAAGAUGUCGGUUGAAAUCUCGGAUGCGGAAAGAUUAUGGACGGUGACUCGAAGUGAUUCUGUCCCGCCAAAGCACGUUUGUCCUCGGAC
rnacentral:misc_RNA from 1 species